GUUAAUUAAAUGCACAUGUCUUGCUAUUGUAGUAAGCAACUUACAGUUAGGUCCAGAAAUAAUUUGAUACUGAUACAAGUUUUUGUUAUUUUUGCUGUUUACCAAAAUAUAUUCAAAUUACAGAUAAAUAAUAUAUAUGGGCUUAAAGUGCAGUCUCUCAGCUUUAAUUAGGGCGUAUUCACAUCCAAAUUGGAGGACGGGUUUAAGAAUUACAACUCCUUAAUAUGUAUCCCCCUCUUUUUCAAGGGACCAAAAGUAAUUGGACAACUGACUCAAAACCUUUUUCAUGCUAUUCCUUAAUUAUUUCUUCAUCAAUUAAGCAGGUAAAAAAAAAUUGCACUGGUGAAAAACCCUUCACAACAUCCAGCCAAGUGAAGAAUACUCUCCAGGAGUAGGCAUAUCAUUAUCCAAGUCUACCAUAAAGAGAAGACUUCAUGAGAGCAAAUGCAGACGGUUUACCACAAUGUGCAAAACCAUUCAUAAGCUUCAUAAGAAUAGAAAGGCCAGAUUUUGCCCAAAAACUUGGAAAAAUGCCAGCCCUGUUAUGGAACAGCAUUUUUUGGACAAAUGAAACUAAGAUCAACCUGUACCAGAUCAACCACAUCAUCUGUAAAACAUGGUGGAGGCAGUAUGAUGGCAUGGGCAUGCAUGGCUUCCAAUGGCACUGGUUUUAUUGAUGAUAUGACAGAAGACAGAAGCAGCCGGAUGAAUUCUGAACGGUAUAGGGAUAUAUUGUAUGCUCAGAUUCAGACAAAUUCAGUGAAGUUGAUUAAACAGUGCUUCACUUUACAGAUGGACAAUGACACAAAACAUUCUGCAAACCCAUUAGUUUUUUAAGGCAAAUAAGUGGAAUAUUCUGCAAUGGCCGAGUCAAUCACCUGAUCUCAACCCGAUUGAGCACAGAUUUCACUUGCUAAAGACAAAAUUAAAGGCAGAAAGAUCCACGUACAAACAAAAACUAAAGACAGCUGCAGUAAAGGCAAAGUAUCACAAAUGAGGAAACCUGUAACGAGGACGUGCGUGGAAGACGCGUGCCAUCCCUCCCGACGUGGUAUUCGGCGUGCGUCAUCGCCGGCCUUCUAGUCACGCCGCUCCUCCUCCCACGGCACUGUCAUGUUUUGUUAUUGCACACACCUGGUUUCCAAUCCCUCAAUAUGUUGCCUAUAUUAGUCCCUGUGUUUCUGGGUGUCUUUGUGUGGUAUUGUUCUUUGUCUGGUGUUUUUACAAGAAGUUUGCACGCUUGUUGUUGCGCUUGAGCGUUUGAUUUUCUGCUUGUCAUUUAAGUAUUAAUAUACUAAGUACGUUAACCGCCUCCCUGCGUUUGACUCCUUUAUUCUACGCACACCACAACGAAUACCAUUCUGACAAAACCCAGGGUUUGGUGAUGUCCAUGCGUUCCAGACGUUAAGCAGUCAUUGCCUGCGAAGGAUUCUCGACAAAGUAUUAAAAAUUAAGAUUUUUUUCAUGAUUGUGUUAAUUUGUUCAAUUACAUUUGAGUGCCUGAAAUAAGGGGACAGUGUAUGAAAAUGGUUUCAAUUCCUAAACGUUUCUUACAAUUUAUUUUUUCAACGCCUUGAAUUAAAGCUGAAUGUCUGCACUUAAAUUGCAUCUUGGUUGUUUCAUUUCAAAGCCAUUGUGGUGGCGUACAGAGCCC
ensembl:lncRNA